GCCAAAAACGACGGGGUGGGGUGUCGUGGGUAGAGAUGCCCUCAGAAUGUGGAAAGAUUUAUGCUUAGAGGAAGAUGUCCUCCUUGUGAAUAGAGUGUAGCAAAGAAGAUGAUAUGUUUUCUUUUUGAGCUCUCCUGCUUCCUAUUUCCUACUUCUUUCCUCACAGUACAUUCGAACAGAGAGGGGCCCUAGGAAUUGAGACCAGCAUCCUCAUUUCACAUAUGAAAAAUCUGAGACCAACAGAAGUAUCUGAAAUCACACUUCUUGUUUCAGAAAUCAGGAAUGUGUGCUUUGACUCUUCUUCAGCAUUAAACAUUUGUACUGCACAUUCACAAACGGCUGCCUGGGUCGUUUCUGAAGCACCUGGUCAGGAUUAGCACUCCUCCAAAUGACUUCAUGAGUGACACGGAUGAGGGAGAUGAGGACCAAAGUGAUGUAAAAUGAUCGAAGGGAACAUGGACACCACAAAUGGAACAGGAAGCUCCCCGGUACACUGCCUCGACGAGGGACAGGGCCCUGGAAGGUGGUUUUUACGUGGGGCCCAUGUCACAAAAGGUGUGCAGCUGU